GGGUUGUGAGGUUAAGCGACUAAGCGUACACGGUGGAUGCCCUGGCAGUCAGAGGCGAUGAAGGACGUGCUAAUCUGCGAAAAGCGCCGGCGAGGUGAUAUGAACCUUUGACCCGGCGAUGUCCGAAUGGGGAAACCCAGUGUGAUUCGUCACACUAUCGUUAACUGAAUACAUAGGUUAACGAGGCGAACCGGGGGAACUGAAACAUCUAAGUACCCCGAGGAAAAGAAAUCAACCGAGAUUCCCCCAGUAGCGGCGAGCGAACGGGGAGCAGCCCGGAGUCUGAAUCAGCUUGUGUGUUAGUGGAAGCGUCUGGAAAGUCGCACGGUACAGGGUGACAGUCCCGUACACGAAAAUGCACAGGUUGUGAACUCGAAGAGUAGGGCGGGACACGUGGUAUCCUGUCUGAAUAUGGGGGGACCAUCCUCCAAGGCUAAAUACUCCUGACUGACCGAUAGUGAACCAGUACCGUGAGGGAAAGGCGAAAAGAACCCCGGCGAGGGGAGUGAAAAAGAACCUGAAACCGUGUACGUACAAGCAGUGGGAGCACCUUCGUGGUGUGACUGCGUACCUUUUGUAUAAUGGGUCAGCGACUUAUAUUCUGUAGCAAGGUUAACCGUAUAGGGGAGCCGAAGGGAAACCGAGUCUUAACUGGGCGUUAAGUUGCAGGGUAUAGACCCGAAACCCGGUGAUCUAGCCAUGGGCAGGUUGAAGGUUGGGUAACACUAACUGGAGGACCGAACCGACUAAUGUUGAAAAAUUAGCGGAUGACCUGUGGCUGGGGGUGAAAGGCCAAUCAAACCGGGAGAUAGCUGGUUCUCCCCGAAAGCUAUUUAGGUAGCGCCUCGUGAACUCAUCUUCGGGGGUAGAGCACUGUUUCGGCUAGGGGGCCAUCCCGGCUUACCAACCCGAUGCAAACUACGAAUACCGAAGAAUGUUAUCACGGGAGACACACGGCGGGUGCUAACGUCCGUCGUGAAGAGGGAAACAACCCAGACCGCCAGCUAAGGUCCCAAAGUCAUGGUUAAGUGGGAAACGAUGUGGGAAGGCACAGACAGCCAGGAUGUUGGCUUAGAAGCAGCCAUCAUUUAAAGAAAGCGUAAUAGCUCACUGGUCGAGUCGGCCUGCGCGGAAGAUGUAACGGGGCUAAACCAUGCACCGAAGCUGCGGCAGCGACACUAUGUGUUGUUGGGUAGGGGAGCGUUCUGUAAGCCGU
rnacentral:rRNA from 1 species